UUUUAAUUGAAGACUUGUAUGAAUGGUUGAACGAGAAAAUAACUGUCUCUUUAAAAAAUCUUGAACUUUACUUUUAAGUGAAAAGGCUUAAAUAAUUUUAAGGGACGAUAAGACCCUAUAAAUCUUUAUAUUAUUUUUCUUUAAAUUUCAAAUUAUAUAUUAAAAGAAAUAAAAGAAAAAAAUAUUAUAUUGGGGAGAUAAAAAUAUAAUUUUUAACUGUUUUAAAAAUAAAACAAUAAUUUUUGAUUAAAAAAAAAAUGAUCCUUUUUAAAGAUUUAAAGAUUAAGUUACUUUAGGGAUAACAGCGUAAUUUUUUUUGAGAGUUCUUAUCGAAAUAAAAGUUUGCGACCUCGAUGUUGAAUUAAAAUAUCCUUAUAAGUGCAGAAGCUAUAA
rnacentral:rRNA from 4 species